UGGGGAAUAUUGCACAAUGGGCGAAAGCCUGAUGCAGCGACGCCGCGUGCGGGAUGAAGGCCUUCGGGUUGUAAACCGCUUUUAAUUGGGAGCAAGCGAGAGUGAGUGUACCUUUUGAAUAAGCACCGGCUAACUACGUGCCAGCAGCCGCGGUAAUACGUAGGGUGCAAGCGUUAUCCGGAAUUAUUGGGCGUAAAGAGCUCGUAGGCGGUUUGUCACGCCUGGUGUGAAAGUCCAUCGCUUAACGGUGGAUCUGCGCCGGGUACGGGCAGGCUAGAGUGCAGUAGGGGAGAUUGGAAUUCCCGGUGUAACGGUGGAAUGUGUAGAUAUCGGGAAGAACACCAAUGGCGAAGGCAGACCUCUGGGCUGUUACUGACGCUGAGGAGCGAAAGCAUGGGGAGCGAACAGGGUUAGAUACCCUGGUAGUCCAUGCCGUAAACGGUGGAUGCUGGAUGUGGGACCCUUCCAC
rnacentral:rRNA from 1 species